rnacentral:rRNA from 1 species
ACGCACGCUGGCGGCGUGCUUCACACAUGCCAGUCGCACGGAAAGGCCCUGCUUUUGUGGGGUGCUCGAGUGGCGAACGGGUGAGUAACACGUGAGUAACCUGCCCUUGACUUUGGGAUAACUUCAGGAAACUGGGGCUAAUACCGGAUAGGAGCUCCUGCUGCAUGGUGGGGGUUGGAAAGUUUCGGCGGUUGGGGAUGGACUCGCGGCUUAUCAGCUUGUUGGUGGGGUAGUGGCUUACCAAGGCUUUGACGGGUAGCCGGCCUGAGAGGGUGACCGGCCACAUUGGGACUGAGAUACGGCCCAGACUCCUACGGGAGGCAGCAGUGGGGAAUAUUGCGCAAUGGGCGGAAGCCUGAUGCAGCAACGCCGCGUGCGGGAUGACGGCCUUCGGGUUGUAAACCGCUUUCGCCUGUGACGAAGCGUGAGUGACGGUAAUGGGUAAAGAAGCACCGGCUAACUACGUG